AAGCUUGAUCCUGGCUCAGAGCGAACGCUGGCGGCGUGCUUAACACAUGCAAGUCGAGUGCGCGCCUGUAGCAAUACAGGUGGCGCACGGCGCACGGGUGCGUAACACGUGGGUAACCUGCCCUUUGGUGGGGAAUAACUUCGCGAAAGCGAAGCUAAUUCCGCAUAAGAUCCGCAAGGAUGAAAGCCGAAAGGCGCCGAAGGAGGGGCCCGCGCACGAUUAGCUAGUUGGUAGGGUAACGGCCUACCAAGGCUAUGAUCGUUAGCUGGUCUGAGAGGAUGGCCAGCCACACUGGAACUGAGACACGGUCCAGACUCCUACGGGAGGCAGCAGUGGGGAAUCUUGCACAAUGGGCGAAAGCCUGAUGCAGCGACGCCGCGUGGGGGAUGAAGCUUCUCGGAGUGUAAACCCCUUUCGACCCGGACGAAUGCCCCGCAAGGGGACUGACGGUACGGGUAUAAGAAGCCCCGGCUAACUACGUGCCAGCAGCCGCGGUAAUACGUAGGGGGCCAGCGUUGCUCGGAAUUACUGGGUGUAAAGGGUUCGUAGGCGGUGCGGCAAGUUGGAAGUGAAAUCUCUGGGCUCAACCCAAAGGCUGCUUUCAAAACUGCUGUGCUUGAGUGUGGGAGAGGCGCGUGGAAUUGCAGGUGUAGCGGUGAAAUGCGUAGAUAUCUGCAGGAACACCCGUGGCGAAAGCGGCGCGCUGGACCACAACUGACGCUGAGGAACGAAAGCUAGGGGAGCAAACAGGAUUAGAUACCCUGGUAGUCCUAGCCCUAAACGAUCAGGACUUGGGGUGGCUCACGUUCGUGAGUCGUCCCGGAGCUAACGCGUUAAGUCCUGCACCUGGGGAGUACGGUCGCAAGACUGAAACUCAAAGGAAUUGACGGGGGCCCGCACAAGCGGUGGAACAUGUGGUUCAAUUCGACGCUACGCGAGGAACCUUACCUGGGCUCGAAAUGCUCUUGACCAGCUGUAGAAAUAUGGCCUUCCCGCAAGGGACAAGAGUAUAGGCGCUGCAUGGCUGUCGUCGGAU
rnacentral:rRNA from 1 species